rnacentral:lncRNA from 1 species
GAACAAAGAAAUCUGGCAGGACACACACAGGUACAGCAUGGACCUGCUUUCGGAGUUAUGCAUAAUGAUUUUUUAAGUUGGAGUGUGUUUGGAUGAGGAGGGACAAGAAAACUGCUUCUGCAGGGGAGGUGGUCCCCACUGCAGCUUCAUCUGUCCCUAGGCCACCUCCCUGCAGCCACCCCAGGCAGUCGUGCAGGACGUCAUGUCCUGGCUGCUUUCCUCUGAGUCACAGAGCUCGCCACAGCACUUCUUCCUCCGCCUCUUACAGGCCUGGCCAGCCAGGAAGUCACAACCACAGCUAAGAGGUUCUGUGCUGAGCAUCUACAGUAGCCCCCAAGUGAGGCCAGAGGUAGAUGGUAAUGGGUCUGAGGCUUGGGGCCAUUUCACAGGACAAUCAUCUCUAUACUUUUCAUUUUGGUUUUAGAACUCUGUGGGAUUUCUUUAUCUCAAAUGCCCUUAUCAGUCUGCAGAUCUCCUGAAGGCUCAUCUGGUUUGCUAGGUCUUAGUCUGCUCAAUACAGAUGAUAAGAUAGUGGGUGAAACAAGAGGUUUGGUAACAUAAGUUCCUGAUGACAUGAGUUGUACACAGUAUAUGUGCAAUUUCUCAACACAUGUUUGGCCUAAACACUUGCAAAUACACCAUCCUGAGCUAAGAGAGUGACUUUCUUUGAUUUUUUUUUUCUUUAAGCAAUGACACUAAUCCAACAACAAUCAUUGGAGAAUGCCUACUAUUUUCCAGGCAUUCUCACAAGACCACCAGAUUCAAUGUGAGAGAUCCCCUGCCCUCUAGAGUUUUACAGGUUAAUGGAAAGGGGUUUUUACCAAGAAGCGCAAAUCCAAAUUACUCGUUUCUUAUGUUAGCAACUUCACCCUCAGGAGUAAGCAGCAGCAGCAGCCAAGGGGCACACAGAGCCACAGGCUAAACACGGUCCACAGCUUCCUGAAAUCAAAGGGCUUCAAAGAUUUGGAAGACACAUUUCUUUUGAUUUUUAAAGCAACCACACACCUAUUCUGGAAUAGUGUACAAAAAUCACAUAGGCCAUCCCGACUCCUAACUGAAUCCCCUCUUCCACCGUCAGAGGACGAGGGCACUUUUUGGCAUGAUGGAGAGAAGCGAGGGGGCAGGGGUGGCCAGAGAGACGGCUGGAGUGGAGGCGGGGGCACCAGCGUGGGGUGAAGGCAGAGGCACCACGGGAAUGUAAAUUGCAGGACGCAUCCUGAGGCAGAGAGUCCUGCUCCUCGCUUAGCUCAGCACAGCGAGUCCCCUGGCUUCAGCUUCCCUCCUGAGCACCUGACGGUUGUCGGUUUACUGUGACUCACUGCCAUUCUAUCUGCCUGGGCUUAUGUUUCCAGCAUCUCACCAGAGCUGUUGUGACCCAUCUCCUGGGCAAAGCCUUCCACGGAGAGGCUGCCGGGCCAGCAGGAGAGGAGACCCAAUCCAUCCAUCAGCAUUUGAAUAAUUCCAUCCACACAUACUUCUCUUCCAAACACCCGGGCUAUUUUCCUUUCCCUGAGCCAUGCAAGCCCAAGGAGCCAGCAGGGUUGCGUGCUCUCAGGAGUAGGACACGUCACAUCAACUUGAGUGCUCCAGGAGCCCUGCCACAAUGGUUUCUUUGUGAGAUCAUCUUUGCAGCGGUUUCCUGAAGCUCUGGCCUCCUUCCUGGUAUCUUCACACAUUCUAGGUGUUUCAAUUCAGUAAAAACAUAAGGGCCUUUUGACUGCUCACUCCUGCACUUCACACUGGGAAGGACACAGAAGUCCCCAGAGAGUGCCCUGGACGACAAAAUGUAGUUCAGAGGUAUCUAAGGGAAAGGGGACCUGAGAGAAGCCUAAGAGAAAACUCCUGAUGCUU